GCGGAAGUGGAAGCAGAAGGUUCCGGCGGCCGCAGCCCCGCCCCCGACUUCCCGCGCGGCGAGGCUGCGGGGUUAACCCUGUCCUCGCCGGGCGGGCUCGACGGCGUUUCGCGAGGCUGAACAAGAGCGGUCGGUUUGACGGAUGGCCGCGGGACGGAGGACGCGGCCUCUUCCGGCUGAGAGCGGGAGCUGCCUCUUCAGCUCGGCCCGUGGCCUUUGCAGCACUGGGGGGGGGGGGGGGCUGUCCCGGUUACACCCUCCAAAGAGGGUAAGGCCUCAUCAUUGCACUUCUGGCCUGCGUUUGCACAUCGUAUGAAGCGCAGCACUCCUUUUAGCCCUGCAGUCGCUGGCUCUCUAGGCAAAUCUGGCACCUCCCUGACUUACAAACUUUACAGUGCGUUGACAGCAGGAAUGAACCUGCCAGGGGUAAGAGGUGGCGCUCUGUCUCCUGCAGGACAUGAAUCUGUUGCCAUGUUCAAAGCUGCUUGCAUCAAUCCAGCAGGCCAAUGCACAGUUGCCCUACACGGGCUCGACUUCUCCAGGCCCUUGCCCGACACACUCAACUUCUCCCUCUGGCUUUAUUGUACCCCCGAGAAAUUCCUUUGAAGAAAUGUCCUUCCCGGACCAGGCCUCCGCGGACACUUGUUUGCCUUGAUCCCUGCCAUUUUAGGCCACAAGCAAGCCAAGGUUUGGGCAGCGCUCUCAAAUGGUUUUCAGUGCAACCCCCGCCCGCUGGCCGUCAGGGCAAUCUGAAUACACAGAGCUUAGAAAAGUCGACUUUUCAGCAGGACGGUUCUGUACAGCUGUGCGGCCGGUUUGCUGCGAUCGGCCCCAGCUUAAAAAGGAGAACAUCCUGAGAAACCAGCUUCUGUCGACGCCAGAGAGUCUGGGUCUAAACUAAAUAUGAAAUAUCCCCAAGGAAGCUUGGGUGCCUUCUCAGAGGUUCGAGCGCUUUUACCUCCGGGUAGCCCUGGUGAGGGAUACUAGGCUCCAGCCAGGUUCUUGCUGGGUUUGGUGACCCCAGCGAAGGUGCCAUUUCAAGCUGCGCUGCCCUGUUUAUUCCCGAGCUGUGGAGAAGACUGUAACCUGGUUUCCUUUAGUGAUCUGGCCCUGUAGCUGCUCAGGCCAGCGCUGAAGCAGCCACAACAAUGCUGGUGGCAAUUUUGAUGGGCCACAGGGUGGCAGUGGAGGCAAAGGUAAGAGGCUUCAUGCUGUCAGAGGCAGAGCAUGGAGCUCCCUAAGCUGGCAGGGGCCUCCCCUCUUUGAAUCUGCAUCUCCUCUUUGCCAUUAGCAGAUCAUUUUGAACAGGGGGAGUAGACGGUGCAGUGUAAUGUCACGCAGAACAUGACACACAUUUUCCUCCAAGUAAAAGGAAACUAGAAGCUUUACUAAUAUAUUAGGGCAGUGACUUUCAACCUGUGGACUGUGGACCCCUGCAGACUAUGUUUAAAGGGUCCGCAAAAGAUGACUGUGAUCAAUCAAAAGUAUGUGAAGACCCACACUUACCAUUGAAAGGGUAUGUGCCUCCAUACAGAAUUUUUUAGGGGUCCACAAAUAAAAAAAGGUUGAAAAACCACAGCUCUAGGGGCCGAGGGCUGUAGUAUUCAGUUAAGAUCCAAGUAAAAAUGAACAUGAUUUUAUUGGAACACACUCAUUUGCUAGCUUAUAUAUUAAGUUUAAAAAACACACCAAGCUAGGGAUAAUAUAUUGUUUUAUUAGUCCUGUAGUCAUUAGAGUUAAAUGUAUGUCUUAUUCAGAUUUGUAAAACACCAUCUAACCUUGAGCAUCUUUUCAGUGUACCCAACACUUCCCAGUCAGUGAUUUCCACACCUGAGUGUCACAACCAAAUUAAUCAGUGCCCAUGUCACUAGCAAGAGAUGCUCACAGCAGUCAAUUAAGGGUUAAAGAAAUCUCUAUCCAGAAGUUCCUGAGAAAAAAAUCCAAGCAAGAGCGGUAUAUAAUUUAUGCCCACGUCACAAACGAGAAACGAAACUUAAGACUGGUCAGGGUGAAAGGGGAUAGCCCUGCCAUAAAUCCCUGCAAUAAAACCCGGAGGGAAAACUGUAAAUAAUUGGUGAGCUGAAAUAAAAUGCUAGGGAAAACUAUAUAUAAUUGGUCAAAAAAUAAGCGUAAGCUCCUCACACGUAACAGGUAGAGAAACCUAACCCACUACCUUGUAACUUGAGACAAAGAGCUGCUACCUGCCAAAAAAAAAUUCCAUAUAACAGUUCACAAUUGGGUAUCUCUGUGAAACACCUCUGCCUAUAAAUAGUUUAACAGUUUCCGCCCAAGGCGGAGAGCUCUGGGGAUUUCUGAGCAGAAACACCUGUGUUCAUGUCGCCAGAGAGAGAGAUUUGGGAACCUGAUCAAUUCCCAAUAAACUCCCCGUCAUCGGAAAAUAUUGACGUUAAAAGUCUUGCUAGCCCGAGCGCUCCGGCGCCACGUCUGUCAUUACUUUGCUGUAACCUGAAUGCGUAGACUCAGCUCUGUAACCGAAGCUGUAAUGGAACAAAGGCUCGCCUGCGUCGUCAUCGCUAUCUAGGCGACGCCCAGCGGUGACGAAGCAGCAAUCUGUGACUGCCCGAUCGCGAGAAUCACCAAGCACCAACCUGCAGCACACCCGGGUCGACGCCACAAUGGCUGCCUGCUCAUAUGUCGCGAGCAGGGUCGUCGCUCUAUUCCUGCUGUUACCAACAGGUCCCUCGGCGAACGAAGCUGACUUCAAAACCUCCAACUCGAUCCUGAACCUUCUGUCAUUUUAGGCCAAAGACAUAACUAACAACUCAUUUUAUGGUUUUUCUUUUCCUGUUAAUGAUCUUGUACAUACUUGUUUUGUUUUGUUUUAAAGCUUGUUCGAGACUUUACGCAGUGAAGCCAAGUCAUAAUGUUUUGAGUGGAAAGCUCUGAAUAACUGAAAGAAAACAGCACUGAUAAUCUGAAGGUUUGGGGGAUGUCGCAGAAAGGUUGAGUAUGGACAGAAGCAUUAAAUGAGAGAGAGAAAAGAGGGGAAUUUUGCCUUUUUAGUUUGGUUUCUUAACUAAAACACGAGAGAACACAAAAGGCAAAUGUGAAGGCUUAGUGUAUGUCAUAGGUGCAUGGAGGACAGGAAACGUUUGGUGUCAAAUCGUUGAGAGGAGAAGCAAGUAGUGAUGCAUGACAAGGUUGAUGCGUUUUGAUAGUCUUAAACAAAGAAAUAAAAAAAAAAAUUGCGGAAAACGUCAACCGACUCUCGGGUAUAGGCCAAGGUUGGCUAUCAGACCUCUUCCGUUGGUUUGAGUGGGACACGUCAUCAUGGUUCCUCAACUUGUUAAUACCCUUCAUUACGCUUUUGUUACCAAUUGCUGUAUUUGUGUGUUUUAGUUGUUAAAUUUUACAGUAUCUCAAAACAAAGUUAACCACGCUUUCUGCUUUUGUAUAUACCUGCUUGCCGGAAAAAAAACAACCCAAUAACAGCAAAUAUGACGACGAGAAUGAGCUAUAGCCGAAAGUAAGUGAUCACUUGCUGUGCCAUGGGCAAGGGGGCAUGUCACAACCAAAUUAAUCAGUGCCCAUGUCACUAGCAAGAGAUGCACACAGCAGUCAAUUAAGGGUUAACGAAAUCUCUGUCCAGAAGUUCCUGAGAAAAAAAUCCAAGCAAGAGCUGUAUAUAAUUUAUGCCCACGUCACAAACGAGAAACGAAACUUAAGACUGGUCAGGGUGAAAGGGGAUAGCCCUGCCAUAAAUCCCUGCAAUAAAACCCGGAGGGAGAACUGUAGAUAAUUGGUCAGCUGAAAUAAAAUGCUAGGGAAAACUAUAUAUAAUUGGUCAAAAAAUAAGCGUAAGCUCCUCACACGUAGCACACACGUAACAGGUAGAGAAACCUAACCCACUACCUUGUAACUUGAGGAGACAAAGAGCUGCUACCUGCCAAAAAAUUAAAAAUUCCAUAUAACGGUCCACGAUUGGGUAUCUCUGUCAAACACCUCUGCCUAUAAAUAGUUUAACGGUUUCCGCCCAAGGCAGAGAGCUCUGGGGAUUUCUGAGCAGAAACACCUGUUUUCAUGUUGCCAGAGAGAGAGAUUUGGGAACCUGAUCAAUUCCCAAUAAACUCCCCGUCAUCGGAAAAUAUUGACGUAGAAAAGUCUUGCUAGCCCGAGCGCUCCGGCGCCACGUCUGUCAUUACUUUGCUGUAACCUGAAUGUGUAGACUCAGCUCUGUAACCGAAGCUGUAAUGGAACAAAGGCUCGCCUGCGUCGUCAUCACUAUCUAGGCGACGUAAGUAAACAAACUCCUGUAACCUA